AUGCUCAAAAUUCUCCAAGCCAGGCUUCAGCAAUACGUGAACCGUGAACUUCCUGAUGUUCAAGCUGGUUUUAGACAAGGCAGAGGAACCAGAGAUCAAAUUGCCAACAUCUGCUGGAUCAUGGGGAAAGCAAGAGAGUUCCAGAAAAACAUCUAUUUCUGCUUUAUUGACUAUGCCAAAGCCUUUGACUGUGUGGAUCACAAGAAAUUGUGGAAAAUUCUGAAAGAGAUGGGAAUACCAGACCACCUGACCUGCCUCUUGAGAAAUCUGUAUGCAGGUCAGGAAGCAACAGUUAGAACUGGACAUGGAACAACAGACUGGUUCCAAAUAGGAAAAGGAGUACGUCAAGGCUGUAUAUUGUCACCCUGCUUAUUUAACUUAUAUGCAGGGUACAUCAUGAGAAAUGCUGGGCUGGAAGAAGCACAAGCUGAAAUCAAGAUUGCUGGGAGAAAUAUCAAUAACCUCAGAUAUGCAGAUGACACCACCCUUAUGGCAGAAAGCGAAGAGGAACUAAAAAGCCUCCUGAUGAAAGUGAAAGAGGAGAGUGAAAAAGUUGGCUUAAAGCUCAACAUUCAGAAAACGAAGAUCAUGGCAUCUGGCCCCAUCACUUCAUGGGAAAUAGAUGGGGAAACAGCGGAAACAGUGUCAGACUUUAUUUUGGGGGGCUCCAAAAUCACUGCAGAUGGUGAUUGCAGCCAUGAAAUUAAAAGACACUUACUCCCUGGAAGAAAAGUUAUGACCAACCUAGAUAGCAUAUUGAAAUGCAGAGACAUUACUUUGCCGACUAAGGUCCAUCUAGUCAAAGCUAUGGUUUUUCCUGUGGUCAUGUAUGGAUGUGAGAGUUGGACUGUGAAGAAGGCUGAGCGCCGAAGAAUUGAUGCUUUUGAACUGUGGUGUUGGAGAAGACUCUUGAGAGCCCCUUGGACUGCAAGGAGAUCCAACCAGUCCAUUCUGAAGGAGAUCAACCCUGGGAUUUCUUUGGAAGGACUGAUGCUAAAGCUGAAGCUCCAGUACUUUGGCCACCUCAUGCGAAGAGUUGACUCAUUGGAAAAGACUCUGAUGGUGGGAGGGAUUGGGGGCAGGAGGAGAAGGGGAAGACAGAGGAUGAGAUGGCUGGAUGGCAUCACGGACUCAACGGACAUGAGUCUGAGUGAACUCCGGGCAUUGGUGAUGGACAGAGAGGCCUGGCGUGCUGCGAUUCAUGGGGUCGCAAAGAGUUGGACACGACUGAGCGACUGA
rnacentral:lncRNA from 1 species